GGCGCACGGGUGCGUAACGCGUAUGUAACCUACCCUAUACAGGGGGAUAGCCCGGAGAAAUCUGGAUUAAUACCCCAUGGCACUGCGAAUCAGCAUUGGAAUGCAGUUAAAGAUUUAUCGGUAUAGGAUGGACAUGCGUCUGAUUAGCUAGUUGGCGGUGUAACGGACCACCAAGGCGACGAUCAGUAGGGGUUCUGAGAGGAAGGUCCCCCACACUGGCACUGAGAUACGGGCCAGACUCCUACGGGAGGCAGCAGUAGGGAAUAUUGGGCAAUGGACGAGAGUCUGACCCAGCCAUGCCGCGUGCAGGAAGAAGGCGUUCUGCGUUGUAAACUGCUUUUAUCUGGGAAGAAAAGGCCCAUGCGUGGGACAUUGCCGGUACCAGAUGAAUAAGCACCGGCUAACUCCGUGCCAGCAGCCGCGGUAAUACGGAGGGUGCAAGCGUUGUCCGGAUUUAUUGGGUUUAAAGGGUGCGUAGGCGGUUGAUUAAGUCAGUGGUGAAAGUUUUGGGCUCAACCCAGAAAUUGCCAUUGAUACUGGUCGACUUGAGUAUUGCAGGGGUACAUGGAAUUGAUGGUGUAGCGGUGAAAUGCAUAGAUACCAUCAGGAACACCGAUAGCGAAGGCAUUGUACUGGGCAACCACUGACGCUGAUGCACGAAAGCAUGGGGAGCGAACAGGAUUAGAUACCCUGGUAGUCCAUGCCGUAAACGAUGAUUACUCGCUGUUAUGCUCUAGUAGUGUAGCGGCCAAGCGAAAGCGUUAAGUAAUCCACCUGGGGAGUACGCCCGCAGGGUGAAACUCAAAGGAAUUGACGGGGGUCCGCACAAG
rnacentral:rRNA from 1 species